rnacentral:rRNA from 1 species
GGAGUUAGCCGGUGCUUCUUCUGUGAGUGAUGUCCUUCCUGCCGGCUAUUAACCCGCAGGCCUUCUUCCUCACUGAAAGUGCUUUACAACCCGAAGGCCUUCUUCACACACGCGGCAUGGCUGGAUCAGGGUUGCCCCCAUUGUCCAAUAUUCCCCACUGCUGCCUCCCGUAGGAGUCUGGGCCGUGUCUCAGUCCCAGUGUGGCUGAUCAUCCUCUCAGACCAGCUACGGAUCGUCGCCUUGGUGAGCCGUUACCUCACCAACCAGCUAAUCCGACAUAGGCUCAUCCGAUAGCGCGAGGCCCGAAGGUCCCCCGCUUUCCCCCGUACGGGCGUAUGCGGUAUUAGCCUGGGUUUCCCCAGGUUAUCCCCCACUACCGGGCAGAUUCCUAUGCAUUACUCACCCGUCCGCCGCUCGCCACCAGGGAGCAAGCUCCCCGUGCUGCCGCUCGACUUGCAUGUGUUAGGCCUGCCGCCAGCGUUCAAUCUGAGCCAGAAUCGAACCCUGA